CUUAGAGAGCUUGCUUUUUAAGCUUAGUGGCGAACGGGUGAGUAACGCGUGAGUAACCUGCCCUGGAGUGGGGGACAACAGUUGGAAACGACUGCUAAUACCGCAUAAGCCCACGGAUCCGCAUGGAUCUGCGGGAAAAGGAUUUAUUCGCUUCAGGAUGGACUCGCGUCCAAUUAGCUAGAUGGUGAGGUAACGGCCCACCAUGGCGACGAUCGGUAGCCGGUCUGAGAGGAUGAACGGCCACACUGGAACUGAGACACGGUCCAGACUCC
rnacentral:rRNA from 1 species